UGUAGGUGUGUGUGUGUGUACCUCUUGUAGGUGUGUGUGUGUACCUCUUGUAGGUGUGUGUGUGUACCUCUUGUAGGUGUGUGUGUGUGUACCUCUUGUAGGUGUGUGUGUACCUCCUGUAGGUGUGUGUGUGUACCUCUUGUAGGUGUGUGUGUGUACCUCUUGUAGGUGUGUGUGUGUACCUCUUGUAGGUG